rnacentral:rRNA from 1 species
GAUGAACGCUGGCGGCGUGCCUAAUACAUGCAAGUUGAGCGAACGGACGAGAAGCUUGCUUCUCUGAUGUUAGCGGCGGACGGGUGAGUAACACGUGGAUAACCUACCUAUAAGACUGGGAUAACUUCGGGAAACCGGAGCUAAUACCGGAUAAUAUUUUGAACCGCAUGGUUCAAAUGUGAAAGACGGUCUUGCUGUCACUUAUAGAUGGAUCCGCGCUGCAUUAGCUAGUUGGUAAGGUAACGGCUUACCAAGGCAACGAUGCAUAGCCGACCUGAGAGGGUGAUCGGCCACACUGGAACUGAGACACGGUCCAGACUCCUACGGGAGGCAGCAGUAGGGAAUCUUCCGCAAUGGGCGAAAGCCUGACGGAGCAACGCCGCGUGAGUGAUGAAGGUCUUCGGAUCGUAAAACUCUGUUAUUAGGGAAGAACAUAUGUGUAAGUAACUGUGCACAUCUUGACGGUACCUAAUCAGAAAGCCACGGCUAACUACGUG